CACGUAGGGCGCAAGCGUUGUCCGGAAUUACUGGGCGUAAAGGGCUCGUAGGCGGCCCUCUCAGUCGGAUGUGAAAUCCCCAGGCUUAACCUGGGAACGGCAUCCGAUACUGGAGGGCUUGAAUUCGGGAGAGGGAUGCAGAAUUCCAGGUGUAGCGGUGAAAUGCGUAGAUAUCUGGAGGAAUACCGGUGGCGAAGGCGGCAUCCUGGACCGAGAUUGACGCUGAGGAGCGAAAGCUAGGGGAGCAAACGGG
rnacentral:rRNA from 1 species